GGCACCGAGAGCUAUUCUGAAAGCCGCGUUGGAACUGCGCAGACGCAGGGGAGGCUCAGCAAUUCUAACAGAUUCCAAGGGGAAAUGAAGAGUCAUGUUAGAACUUAAGCGCCUUACCAUGUCCACAUCCAGCUUGAAGCCACAGCCAUGGGCAUCCGUGCACAUCCGCUGACGGGGGCAGAGCAAGAUGCAAAGUCACUCUGAAGGGAGCACGGAGGCUGUCGCACAUCUUCCCGCACCGGGCAGUUUCUUCUUGCCCUUAAAGACACAGCUCAAACACCUUCUAGACAUCUGUAGCAGUCAUGUGACCUGGGCGCCACCAUCAGAACCGUCCUCCUGAUUCCUGCUCCGAAGGGAGCUUGGAGAUAACCAAACGGCCUGUGCGUCCAUUUCCUGAUGCAGGGGACCACAGGAGUGGCAGCAAUAUCCUGUCAGACUUGUCACUCUGUGGUAUCAGUGGCAAUUUAUGGUGGCAAUAAAUUUUUGUGCAACUCGGAGGGAGACCCAGUGAUUUUUUAAAAAUCUUAUUUUCCACACUACCAGUUCUAUAGUGUAGCUUUGGGCAUUGCUCUUGGAAGUUGAAUAAGCUUCAACCCUUAUUAUCUAAUCCAUUUCUUAACCUCAAGGAAAACAAACAGAGGAUGAGGGAAGGAAGGCAUUCCAAAGUAGACCGACGGUCUUAUGAUUGACAGUGAAAUUGGUGAAUAAAUUAAAAAUUAGCGACUAAAUGGUCAACCAAUGAAAGGUGACAUCGUAUGUUCAUGUCAUUUCACUGGGUGAUGGGGACAGUUCAGGGACAGUUGGAGGGGAUUUUUGUGUGUAUGCAGAUUAGAAAUUUCCUCAUGGGGCAAAUGGUGCCACCAGGGCAGCAGUUAGGCUCCCCCUACUGAGUCCUGAAUCAGGACCACAGCUCUGGCAGCCG